CCUACGGGUGGCAGCAGUGGGGAAUAUUGCGCAAUGGGCGAAAGCCUGACGCAGCGACGCCGCGUGAGGGAUGACGGUCUUCGGAUCGUAAACCUCUGUCAGCAGGGAAGAACGGUCACUGUGCUAAUCAGCAGUGCAUUGAUGGUACCUGCAAAGGAAGCACCGGCUAACUCCGUGCCAGCAGCCGCGGUAAUACGGAGGGUGCUAGCGUUAAUCGGAAUUACUGGGCGUAAAGCGCUCGUAGGCGGUAUGUCAAGUCAAGUGUGAAAUCCCCGCGCUCAACGUGGGAACUGCCUUUGAAACUGGCAAACUGGAGUGUGUGAGAGGAUAGUGGAAUUCGAGGUGUAGGAGUGAAAUCCGUAGAUAUCUGGAGGAACAUCAGUGGCGAAGGCGACUAUCUGGCACAUAACUGACGCUGAGGAGCGAAAGCGUGGGUAGCAAACAGGAUUAGAUACCCUUGUAGUC
rnacentral:rRNA from 1 species